AGAGAAUAAAGAAAUACAGGAAAGGGAAAGGGAAGGAUAAGAUGUCCAGUGCCUGUAAAUAUGACUGUGUGCCACCGGUCCCUAUUACUUGUCCUCCUGAUAGUUGCUGUCAUGUAGUAGCAAAGCAUGCAUGGCCGGAGCUUGUAGGGAAACAUAAUUUUGAUGCGACAAAGGAGCUCCAAACCAGCUACCCACAAUUGCAUUUGUGUGUCAUGCUAGAAGGAACCCCGAAGCCUACUAAUGUAUGUUGCAACCGUGUGCUCAUUUAUGUUGAUGCCAAUGGGUUAAUCUCUCUUGUCCCUAGAAUUGGUUGAGUUGGUCAUAUAUGGUCAUGACUCAUGACUCAAUGUAUUGCUCCAUAUUUGAAUAAGUGAGACAUAGAAUAAAUGGAUUGAAUGACUUUGUUUUUGUUA